rnacentral:rRNA from 1 species
GGAGUUAGCCGGUGCUUCUUCUGUGAGUGAUGUCCUUCCUGCCGGUUAUUGACCCGCAGGCCUUCUUCCUCACUGAAAGUGCUUUACAACCCGAAGGCCUUCUUCACACACGCGGCAUGGCUGGAUCAGGGUUGCCCCCAUUGUCCAAUAUUCCCCACUGCUGCCUCCCGUAGGAGUCUGGGCCGUGUCUCAGUCCCAGUGUGGCUGAUCAUCCUCUCAGACCAGCUACGGAUCGUCGCCUUGGUGAGCCGUUACCUCACCAACCAGCUAAUCCGACAUAGGCUCAUCCGAUAGCGCGAGGCCCGAAGGUCCCCCGCUUUCCCCCGUAGGGCGUAUGCGGUAUUAGCCUGGGUUUCCCCAGGGUUAUCCCCCACUACCGGGCAGAUUCCUAUGCAUUACUCACCCGUCCGCCGCUCGCCACCAGGGAGCAAGCUCCCCGUGCUGCCGCUCGACUUGCAUGUGUUAGGCCUGCCGCCAGCGUUCAAUCUGAGCCAUAAUCAAAACUCUGA